CACACUAUCAUUAACUGAAUCCAUAGGUUAAUGAGGCGAACCGGGGGAACUGAAACAUCUAAGUACCCCGAGGAAAAGAAAUCAACCGAGAUUCCCCCAGUAGCGGCGAGCGAACGGGGAGCAGCCCAGAGCCUGAAUCAGUGUGUGUGUUAGUGGAAGCGUCUGGAAAGGCGCGCGAUACAGGGUGACAGCCCCGUACACAAAAAUGCACAUGCUGUGAGCUCGAUGAGUAGGGCGGGACACGUGGUAUCCUGUCUGAAUAUGGGGGGACCAUCCUCCAAGGCUAAAUACUCCUGACUGACCGAUAGUGAACCAGUACCGUGAGGGAAAGGCGAAAAGAACCCCGGCGAGGGGAGUGAAAAAGAACCUGAAACCGUGUACGUACAAGCAGUGGGAGCACGCUUAGGCGUGUGACUGCGUACCUUUUGUAUAAUGGGUCAGCGACUUAUAUUCUGUAGCAAGGUUAACCGAAUAGGGGAGCCGAAGGGAAACCGAGUCUUAACUGGGCGUUAAGUUGCAGGGUAUAGACCCGAAACCCGGUGAUCUAGCCAUGGGCAGGUUGAAGGUUGGGUAACACUAACUGGAGGACCGAACCGACUAAUGUUGAAAAAUUAGCGGAUGACUUGUGGCUGGGGGUGAAAGGCCAAUCAAACCGGGAGAUAGCUGGUUCUCCCCGAAAGCUAUUUAGGUAGCGCCUCGUGAAUUCAUCUCCGGGGGUAGAGCACUGUUUCGGCAAGGGGGUCAUCCCGACUUACCAACCCGAUGCAAACUGCGAAUACCGGAGAAUGUUAUCACGGGAGACACACGGCGGGUGCUAACGUCCGUCGUGAAGAGGGAAACAACCCAGACCGCCAGCUAAGGUCCCAAAGUCAUGGUUAAGUGGGAAACGAUGUGGGAAGGCCCAGACAGCCAGGAUGUUGGCUUAGAAGCAGCCAUCAUUUAAAGAAAGCGUAAUAGCUCACUGGUCGAGUCGGCCUGCGCGGAAGAUGUAACGGGGCUAAACCAUGCACCGAAGCUGCGGCAGCGACGCUUAUGCGUUGUUGGGUAGGGGAGCGUUCUGUAAGCCUGUGAAGGUGUGCUGUGAGGCAUGCUGGAGGUAUCAGAAGUGCGAAUGCUGACAUAAGUAACGAUAAAGCGGGUGAAAAGCCCGCUCGCCGGAAGACCAAGGGUUCCUGUCCAACGUUAAUCGGGGCAGGGUGAGUCGACCCCUAAGGCGAGGCCGAAAGGCGUAGUCGAUGGGAAACAGGUUAAUAUUCCUGUACUUGGUGUUACUGCGAAGGGGGGACGGAGAAGGCUAUGUUGGCCGGGCGACGGUUGUCCCGGUUUAAGCGUGUAGGCUGGUUUUCCAGGCAAAUCCGGAAAAUCAAGGCUGAGGCGUGAUGACGAGGCACUACGGUGCUGAAGCAACAAAUGCCCUGCUUCCAGGAAAAGCCUCUAAGCAUCAGGUAACAUCAAAUCGUACCCCAAACCGACACAGGUGGUCAGGUAGAGAAUACCAAGGCGCUUGAGAGAACUCGGGUGAAGGAACUAGGCAAAAUGGUGCCGUAACUUCGGGAGAAGGCACGCUGAUAUGUAGGUGAAGUCCCUCGCGGAUGGAGCUGAAAUCAGUCGAAGAUACCAGCUGGCUGCAACUGUUUAUUAAAAACACAGCACUGUGCAAACACGAAAGUGGACGUAUACGGUGUGACGCCUGCCCGGUGCCGGAAGGUUAAUUGAUGGGGUCAGCGCAAGCGAAGCUCUUGAUCGAAGCCCCGGUAAACGGCGGCCGUAACUAUAACGGUCCUAAGGUAGCGAAAUUCCUUGUCGGGUAAGUUCCGACCUGCACGAAUGGCGUAAUGAUGGCCAGGCUGUCUCCACCCGAGACUCAGUGAAAUUGAACUCGCUGUGAAGAUGCAGUGUACCCGCGGCAAGACGGAAAGACCCCGUGAACCUUUACUAUAGCUUGACACUGAACAUUGAGCCUUGAUGUGUAG
rnacentral:rRNA from 1 species